rnacentral:misc_RNA from 1 species
GUGGGAACUGACCUGGAGGAUUAAAAUUGAGAUGGAAUCUAACAAAUUUGAUGAGAUGCAACAUUGUCUUUGUUUAAAAAGAUUAACGAAAUUUGUCUGGAUAAUAUCUUCCAUAUAGGGCCCAUAAAUUUGGGGGAAACUGACAGGGAUGAAAAGUUAAGCCUAAAUUCGUGGUUAGAGAAGAUUAGAGGUAGGCUACGUGUCUUCCCAUUGUCAUUGUCAUUUCCUAAAAGAACGUCCCCUUAUCUCUCAAAUCCAUUGUCAUUCUCAGACAUAAGAUUUAGC